UACGGAGGGUGCGAGCGUUGUCCGGAAUCACUGGGCGUAAAGGGCGCGUAGGCGGCCUGAUAAGUAGGGGGGUGAAAAUCCUGCGGCUUAACCGCAGGGGCUGCCUUCUAAACUGUCAGGCUCGAGCACAGUAGAGGCAGGUGGAAUUCCCGGUGUAGCGGUGGAAUGCGUAGAGAUCGGGAAGAACAUCAGUGGCGAAGGCGGCCUGCUGGGCUGUUGCUGACGCUGAGGCGCGACAGCGUGGGGGAGCAAACAGG
rnacentral:rRNA from 1 species